GGCAGAGUGGCUCAGGUGGUAAGAGCACAUGCCUAGCAAGCAAGAGGCCCUGAGUUCAAACCCCAGUUCUGCCU